rnacentral:rRNA from 1 species
CAAUAGCGUAUAUUAAAGUUGUUGCAGUUAAAAAGCUCGUAGUUGGAUUUGUGGUGUACUUUGGCGGCCCGUCACUAUGUGAUGGAGCUUGCUGAAGUCGCCAUCCUUGGGUGGAUCCUGUGUGGCAUUAAGUUGUCGUGCAGGGGAUGCCCAUCGUUUACUGUGAAAAAAUUAGAGUGUUCAAAGCAGGCUUAUGCCGUUGAAUAUAUUAGCAUGGAAUAAUAAGAUAGGACCUUGGUACUAUUUUGUUGGUUUGCGCACCAAGGUAAUGAUUAAUAGGGACAGUUGGGGGUAUUCGUAUUUCAUUGUCAGAGGUGAAAUUCUUGGAUUUUUGAAAGACGAACUACUGCGAAAGCAUUUACCAAGGAUGUUUNCAUUAA